rnacentral:rRNA from 1 species
GUCCUAGGUAUAAAGCACUUUAUACUGUGAAACUGCGAAUGGCUCAUUAAAUCAGUUAUCGUUUAUUUGAUAGUACCUUACUACAUGGAUACCUGUGGUAAUUCUAGAGCUAAUACAUGCUAAAAACCUCGACUUCGGAAGGGGUGUAUUUAUUAGAUAAAAAACCAACGCCCUUCGGGGCUCCUUGGUGAAUCAUAAUAACUAAGCGAAUCGCAUGGCCUUGCGCCGGCGAUGGUUCAUUCAAAUUUCUGCCCUAUCAACUUUCGAUGGUAGGAUAGUGGCCUACCAUGGUGGCAACGGGUAACGGGGAAUUAGGGUUCGAUUCCGGAGAGGGAGCCUGAGAAACGGCUACCACAUCCAAGGAAGGCAGCAGGCGCGCAAAUUACCCAAUCCCGACACGGGGAGGUAGUGACAAUAAAUACUGAUACGGGGCUCUUUUGGGUCUCGUAAUUGGAAUGAGUACAAUCUAAAUCCCUUAACGAGGAACAAUUGGAGGGCAAGUCUGGUGCCAGCAGCCGCGGUAAUUCCAGCUCCAAUAGCGUAUAUUAAAGUUGUUGCAGUUAAAAAGCUCGUAGUUGAACCUUGGGUCUGGCUGGCCGGUCCGCCUCACCGCGAGUACUGGUCCGGCUGGACCUUUCCUUCUGGGGAACCUCAUGGCCUUCACUGGCUGUGGGGGGAACCAGGACUUUUACUGUGAAAAAAUUAGAGUGUUCAAAGCAGGCCUUUGCUCGAAUACAUUAGCAUGGAAUAAUAGAAUAGGACGUGCGGUUCUAUUUUGUUGGUUUCUAGGACCGCCGUAAUGAUUAAUAGGGAUAGUCGGGGGCGUCAGUAUUCAGCUGUCAGAGGUGAAAUUCUUGGAUUUGCUGAAGACUAACUACUGCGAAAGCAUUCGCCAAGGAUGUUUUCAUUAAUCAGGGAACGAAAGUUAGGGGAUCGAAGACGAUCAGAUACCGUCGUAGUCUUAACCAUAAACUAUGCCGACUAGGGAUCGGGCGGUGUUUCUAUAAUGACCCGCUCGGCACCUUACGAGAAAUCAAAGUUUUUGGGUUCUGGGGGGAGUAUGGUCGCAAGGCUGAAACUUAAAGAAAUUGACGGAAGGGCACCACAAGGCGUGGAGCCUGCGGCUUAAUUUGACUCAACACGGGGAAACUCACCAGGUCCAGACAAAAUAAGGAUUGACAGAUUGAGAGCUCUUUCUUGAUCUUUUGGAUGGUGGUGCAUGGCCGUUCUUAGUUGGUGGAGUGAUUUGUCUGCUUAAUUGCGAUAACGAACGAGACCUCGGCCCUUAAAUAGCCCGGUCCGCAUUUGCGGGCCGCUGGCUUCUUAGGGGGACUAUCC